GAUGAACGCUGGCGGCGUGCCUAAUACAUGCAAGUCGAGCGAACAGACGAGGAGCUUGCUCCUCUGACGUUAGCGGCGGACGGGUGAGUAACACGUGGAUAACCUACCUAUAAGACUGGGAUAACUUCGGGAAACCGGAGCUAAUACCGGAUAAUAUAUUGAACCGCAUGGUUCAAUAGUGAAAGACGGUUUUGCUGUCACUUAUAGAUGGAUCCGCGCCGCAUUAGCUAGUUGGUAAGGUAACGGCUUACCAAGGCGACGAUGCGUAGCCGACCUGAGAGGGGGAUCGGCCACACUGGAACUGAGACACGGUCCAGACUCCUACGGGAGGCAGCAGUAGGGAAUCUUCCGCAAUGGGCGAAAGCCUGACGGAGCAACGCCGCGUGAGUGAUGAAGGUCUUCGGAUCGUAAAACUCUGUUAUUAGGGAAGAACAAAUGUGUAAGUAACUAUGCACGUCUUGACGGUACCUAAUCAGAAAGCCACGGCUAACUACGU
rnacentral:rRNA from 1 species